rnacentral:rRNA from 1 species
GAUGAACGCUAGCGGCAGGCUUAACACAUGCAAGUCGAGGGGUAACAGGAGUAGCUUGCUACUUGCUGACGACCGGCGCACGGGUGCGUAACGCGUAUACAAUCUACCUUUUGCUGAGGAAUAGCCCAGAGAAAUUUGGAUUAAUGCCUCAUGGUAUGUUAUUAUGGCAUCAUAUUAACAUUAAAGGUUACGGCAAAAGAUGAGUAUGCGUUCUAUUAGCUAGAUGGUGUGGUAACGGCACACCAUGGCAACGAUAGAUAGGGGCCCUGAGAGGGGGAUCCCCCACACUGGUACUGAGACACGGACCAGACUCCUACGGGAGGCAGCAGUGAGGAAUAUUGGGCAAUGGAGGCAACUCUGACCCAGCCAUGCCGCGUGCAGGAAGACUGCCCUAUGGGUUGUAAACUGCUUUUAUACAGGAAGAAACAGCUCUUCGAGCAAGAGCCUUGACGGUACUGUAAGAAUAAGGAUCGGCUAACUCCG